rnacentral:rRNA from 1 species
UACGUAGGGCGCAAGCGUUGUCCGGAAUUAUUGGGCGUAAAGAGCUCGUAGGCGGUUUGUCGCAUCUGCUGUGAAAUCCCCAGGCUCAACUUGGGGCGUGCAGUGGGUACGGGCAGACUAGAGUGCGGUAGGGGAGACUGGAAUUCCUGGUGUAGCGGUGGAAUGCGCAGAUAUCAGGAGGAACACCGAUGGCGAAGGCAGGUCUCUGGGCCGUUACUGACGCUGAGGAGCGAAAGCAUGGGGAGCGAACAGG